rnacentral:rRNA from 1 species
GUCUACAGCCAUACUACCCUGAAAGCACCCGAUCUCGCUGAUCUGCAAAGCUAAGCAGGGUGGGGCCUGGUUAGUACUUGGAUGUGAGAAUCGGGGGAGUGGGGGAGGUAAUAGAAC